rnacentral:rRNA from 1 species
UUACUGAGUACUACACUCUCUACCCUUUGGGAACUAUUAUACCUGUUGCUUCGGCGGCGCCCGCAAGGGUGCCCGCCGGUCUCAUCAGAAUCUCUGUUUUCGAACCCGACGAUACUUCUGAGUGUUCUUAGCGAACUGUCAAAACUUUUAACAACGGAUCUCUUGGCUCCAGCAUCGAUGAAGAACGCAGCGAAACGCGAUAUGUAAUGUGAAUUGCAGAAUUCAGUGAAUCAUCGAAUCUUUGAACGCACAUGGCGCCUUCCAGUAUCCUGGGAGGCAUGCCUGUCCGAGCGUCGUUUCAACCCUCGAGCCCCUGUGGCCCGGCGUUGGGGAUCUGCCACGGCAGGCCCCUAAAACCAGUGGCGGACCCGAAGGGCCCUCUCCUUUGCGCAGUAGCAUUCGCCUCGCAUCGGGAGUCCUCGGCGUCCUGCCUCUAAACCCCCCACAAGCCCGCUUCGGCGGCACCAAGGUUGACCUCGGAUCAGGUAGGAAUACCCGCU